rnacentral:rRNA from 1 species
UAACGGAGGUACGGUUUGACUCCUCGGCGUCACGGACGACGCUCGGCGGCGUGCUUAACACAUGCAAGUCGAACGGAAAGGCCCUGCUUUUGUGGGGUGCUCGAGUGGCGAACGGGUGAGUAACACGUGAGUAACCUGCCCUUGACUUUGGGAUAACUUCAGGAAACUGGGGCUAAUACCGGAUAGGAGCUCCUGCUGCAUGGUGGGGGUUGGAAAGUUUCGGCGGUUGGGGAUGGACUCGCGGCUUAUCAGCUUGUUGGUGGGGUACGUGGCUUACCAAGGCUUUGACGGGGUAGCCGGGCCUGAGAGGGUGACCGGCCACAUUGGGACUGAGAUACGGCCCAGACUCCUACGGGAGGCAGGCAGUGGGGAAUAUUGCACAAUGGGCGGAAGCCUGAUGCAGCAACGCCGCGUGCGGGAUGACGGCCUUCGGGUUGUAAACCGCUUUCGCCUGUGACGAAGCGUGAGUGACGGUAAUGGGUAAAGAAGCACCGGCUAACUACGUG